AUUGAACGCUGGCGGCAUGCUCUACACAUGCAAGUCGAACGGUAACAGGCCGCAAGGUGCUGACGAGUGGCGAGCGGGUGAGUAAUGCAUCGGAACGUGCCCAGUCGUGGGGGAUAACUACUCGAAAGAGUAGCUAAUACCGCAUACGAUCUAUGGAUGAAAGCGGGGGACCGUAAGGCCUCGCGCGAUUGGAGCGGCCGAUGUCAGGUUAGGUAGUUGGUGGGGUAAAGGCUCACCAAGCCAACGAUCUGUAGCUGGUCUGAGAGGACGACCAGCCACACUGGGACUGAGACACGGCCCAGACUCCUACGGGAGGCAGCAGUGGGGAAUUUUGGACAAUGGGCGCAAGCCUGAUCCAGCAAUGCCGCGUGCAGGAAGAAGGCCUUCGGGUUGUAAACUGCUUUUGUACGGAACGAAACGGCUCUGGUUAAUACCCGGGGCUAAUGACGGUACCGGAAGAAUAAGCACCGGCUAACUACGUG
rnacentral:rRNA from 1 species